CGGGUGAGACGGGUGAUCGCCGGCGGGUUCCGUGCAAACGGCGCCUGCGGGAGGAAAGUCCGGACACCAAUCGUCGCCGGCUCGCAAGGGCCCACGACGAAGGGCAACGCGCCUGGUAACGCCAGGGGGUUGCGCGGCAGGGCGCCCGCAAGGGCAUCCCGGCAGCGCGGCUACGGAAAGUGCCACAGAAAAUAAACCGCCGGUGUGACGGUUACCUCGGCGGCAGGCCCGCGGCAAAACCAAGGGCCCGCCGGAUUGGGUUCCGCGCAUUUGGUAAGGGUGAAAAGGUGGGGUAAGAGCCCACCGCCCGGGUGGCAACAUCCGGGGCACGGAAAACCCCGCGUGGUGCAAGGCCAAAUAGGAGGGGAGGGCUGGCCCAGCCCGUAUGCGCAACGCUCGCAAGAGCGCCGCGCUCUGACCCUCGGGUAGGCUGCUGGAGUCCCAGUUUGCCCAAUCGUUCCGUCUAACCACCUCGGUGAAUUUCGCGCGAAGCACCGGGCCCGCUUCGCUCAGUCC
rnacentral:RNase_P_RNA from 1 species